GGGGGGUUAGCUCAAUUGGUAGAGCGUACGCUUAGCAUGCGUGAGGUAGGGGGAUCGAAGCCCCCGUUGUCCA
rnacentral:tRNA from 1 species